GUUGUCGUGAAGCCAAGAAAGCCCAGACACUACAUUUCCCAGCAUUCACCGUAUUCAAGACCACAUUUUCCCUUCAAUCAUCGACUGCUGGACAUUUCUACGUCACAGCAGGCUCUUUCAACAGACCUCAGAUGAUGGACUGACCAGUGUGCGGAGUGAAUGAUGCAGUACCCUUGGGGGCCUGUCUGACAGCUUUUUCAGGGUUUCUCCAGCGCUGCCAUCUGAGGAGAGGAGCCCACAGCGGCCCACUCCCCUGGGACUCCUUGAGAAUACCAUCUCCAAAAAUAGAGGUCUCCUCCUCUUCUUCCAACUGUUCCGCUCUUACAGGUAUCUGUCGCUCCAUUCACAUUACUGGUUGGGACACACUCACACACUAUUGACACACACAUGAUUUGGGCCCUGUUGAGAAAUAUUGUUGAUCUUAUUUUGUCAAGUAUUGCAAGGAGAAUGUACAGAAAGUCAACCCAAGG